ACCCGACGCACUUGCCCUCCUGCGCAUAUCACUUCCUCCCAGUCGCCUUCUUCCCUCGCUCUUCCCUCCACCAUUCCGCAGCCUGCCGCUGGAGCCCAGCCUGCCCAUAGCCUCGUGCCCCUCUCCGGCUCCAUGGAAGGUGCAGCAAGGCCACCGCGAUGGGAUCUAGGAGCUCCGUGCGCCCCCGCCAUGCCGCAUGCCUCCACCGCGCCAGUCGUGCCACCGCUAGAACCACACAUGAGGAUCUCCUUGCUCGCCAGCGGAUCUCUGCCACGCACGUCGUGACCUCCGUCGCGGCCUCGCCUCCUGCUCAACCCCACCGCGCGCCACCGCGAUGGGAUCUGGGAGCAGCAAGGCCACCGCGAUGGGAUCUGGGAGGAGGCAAGCAGUCCUCCAUCUUCGGCAACGAGCUCGUACGUUCCCCUUCAUCCCCUCCGUGCCCUUCCCACCACCAUCACCCGACCAAGCGGGCCUGCUGCUCCCUGUCACGGGAGGUUCUGCUCCGCCACCUCCUCCCCAUCUUCCCAGACAUCUAGAAGCUGAAGAGUGAGGCGGCCCUGCUCGUCGCCGCCAGCACCGAGCUCUUCCUAGGCAGCCUCACGGCAGGGGGCCACACAACGACGGCGCGGCAAUUCCGGCAAGCGGUCCGUGCCAUGCACGUCUGGACCACGGCCUGCGGGCACUGUCCCAUGACAGACUUCCCCCUUGACUGCGUCGCUGCGAAGAGGAGUCUCCCCGCGUCUACUUUUGGAUCCGGUGCUUGGUACAGGGAAGACUAGCAAAUGUUGGUGAUUUAGCAGUCAAAAGAGUAAACCCAGAAGCGGGGAUCGUGGAGCUAACAAAUCAUGUGAACUACUAUGUGCAAUCACACAUACAGGGCAACCACCUCAAUGAUUGUAUGAAGUAAACCAUGCUAAGACAUCGAUCUGGACAAUAUUGACGGCAUUGACAUCGAGAGCAGAGAAUGGUGGAUCAAGGAGACCGACGACGUACUGCUGAUUUGGGGCGCAGGACGAAGCAGCAGCUCGACGACCAUGGGUUCCACAUCUUCUACCUCCGCCCCUUCCUCCUGCGCGUCCGCGUCGGUUACUGCCUGACUGGUACUACCCGUCCUGCCAUAUCCCGACCUCCUCCAAACCCAAAUUCGUCGUCGAGCUGCUGCUUCGUCGGAUUAUUGCUUCGAUUGGUUAGCUAAUGUAGUUGCUUCAUCGAAUUACUUGUUUUGAUUCGUUCACUCUGUUGCUUCGUCGAAAGGGUUGCUUUGAUUUGUUCGAGUAGGACUUUUGCAGUUAGUUAUUCUGUUCGAGCGUUGCAUUCCAUUGUGCUUGAUUUAUUCUUCUAGGAUUUGGGGUUCUGAGGAUUAGCCUUUGGAUUAUCCCGGGCUGGGAUCGUUAGUAAUUUUGUUUAGUAUGUUAGAAAUGUUCUAGCCACCAUCAUGGACCUUCACAGAUUUCUUUUGUUUACUCACUGGAACUUCCCUUAAACAUCCAACUGGAGCAAAGCGUCCUGAAUAUAGAGUAUGCUUCAGACAAAAUGGGCCAAUAUCAUUCCAGACAAGAUAUGAAAAAUAAAUAAAUUAUUUUUCAGCAGAUUAAGUACCAAGAAAAAUACAUGAAUUCAAAAAUAAAACCUGCUGGCAAAUACGAAAUCCCUGAAUUAGAGUUGGUGAAUCCAAUCACCUUCCCUGGUUCAAGUAAAUUGCAGUAGCUGGCCACGGGAAUAAAAUUAAGAUGACCUUCUACUCUUUCAAAGGAUGAAAGGGAUGUGAAAUCAAGAUGUUCCUCUUCAUCACGUAGUGGGUAUCCAACUAAAUUAGCAUCCUUGGUAUUCAUUUGCUUAUCAUCAUGACCUUGACUAUUUUGUGCCUCUUCCUUUUGCCCUGAAAGGGAUAAAAACUGAUAUGGUAGCCCAGCUACCCUGCCUGUUCUGUUAGAUAAAUACUUGGAGUUAUCUUGCCCUUGUGACCCAGAAUGUGGCAUCAUUAAAUUACAGGGUUGCUGCCAUACUGUACUAUUUAACAGUGAAACGUGGAUUGAGAACUGUGUGCAGAAAAAAUUGAACAAUGAAUUAUUUGCCCUAUUAAUCUUUUGGGGCAUACUUAAAAUGAUAAUACUAUGCGAAUAUAUAUGAUAUCUAUCUUUUGGUCAAUAAAUAUGCUGCUUAGCAUAUGUUUUCAAGUGCAGUAGCAGAUCCAGAAAUCAUUAAAUUACAGCUUGAAUUUCUUUGAUAUGAAAAAAUUCACCUCGAAUACAAAUGUCCACAGGAUACAGGAAGCUCCUUACAAUACUACUAACCUCAUUUCUGUACAUGAUCCCCAGACCUCAGUUUUUUUUUCCAUCACAACUGUUCUGGGAGAUAGGUGCAUCCACAUCCUGGACUGGCUGGAUCCAUCCUCCAGGAAAUCCUGCUAUGUGUUGAAGACCGAAUUUUUUGUAAACUACUACUACUACUACCGUUUGGCACUGCAGACCCUUUUGUUAUUUGUGGUCACGGAUGAAAGUUGAGAUCCCUGGAGCAAGGUCUCAUGUGGAGAUCCCCCUUAUUCAUCAGUUAUUCUGUGAACUCAUGCAUGGCAGAACGCCAUGCUGAUUUUGUGACAUGAACAUAAUGGUUACGGACGAAAUAAGCACUAUGGUAUGGUUGACGCAAGAGCUACAUUCGCUUUAUGUGACUUUGCCUGUUUGUCUGAACUUGCAUUGUUGUCGUUGAUUUCGGCCUGUUUAUCGAGGCAGUCUUGUUACUUUUUGACAGACCCUAAUGUUUUUGGUUUGUUUGUUGACAGAUUCCAAAAACUAGAUUACCGAAACAAUAUGAGUGGAUGAAUAUGCAGGAGAGUCAGAGCUUCUACUAUGGCUUCUGCUAAGGCUGGAGCUUUUACGUACAGGGGAGCCACUACUUAUAUUGAAGAUAGGGGUAAAAAUGUAUUAUGAAAUGAGGACUUGUUGCAGGAGCAAUAGAAGCUCGAGCCAUUCGUGCAGGUGCCUCCAAUCUGCAGCAGGCUGUGGAAUCAAGGUGAGAUAAUUUUCAGCUUUAUUUGUAAUAGUCUUGCUCAGAUUCGGUAGUUCAUAUGCUUCGUUCCUCUAUGAGUUGUCUUUAUGAUAAAUAUAAAAGAGCAGCCUUUUCAUCUA